CCAAAACUUUGCUUUUGUUUUAAUUAGGCAAAAAACAUACGUAUGUGAAUACAAUUCUGGCUCUUGACAGCAACAGUUCUCUGUUGCUACUACAGUUGGAAAGUGGCAUACUCAACAGCAUUCAGUUUAAUUUGGUAACUUGCUCAAGGAAGUGGGUCUUAAGACAAGUGCUUUCAUGUAAUGUCAAAGCACAGGAUGAGUUUCACCAACUGGAGCACAUGUCAACUGUGGCAUCAAGAUGACUUUCCUUUAAGAUCUGUCAUAUUUUGCACACAUUUUGUUCUGCUUGUUUUUAAUAGUUUCUUCUGCAUGCUUUCUAACUGUGGAUGAGGAGAGCCUCACCUGUACUCUUAGGGGAAAAAAAAAAGAGUGAAAUUCUCAUUUUUGUUGCAUAUGAAGGACAUGUGAAUCUCUAAAUCUCACUCAUAGAAGAGAAGCUGGUUAGUAUUCGAUACCAUGAAGAGAGGUUUCCAUUGAGGAGCUUGGACUAAAACAUGGCUGUGGGUUGAGCCUACCUCUGACCCACAAAAACAAACAAACAAACAAACAAACAAAAAAAAAACAGAGGCAAUAGGCAAUAGGAGGCAAUAGGAAGAUCUUAGAAGAACUAGAAAUAAAAUAAAUUAAGGUUUACUUGCUUUAUUUAUUUAUUUAUUUUUUGAUUAUUACGCAGGAUCUGCAUGAAAUACUGAUGGCUCAUUUUCAAUCAGUACUUGAGAUAAAUGCCACUGCUAUGUAAUGACUCUUCCUUUCUUUCUGAGAGAUCCUAAGGUGAACUAGUUAACAUCUUCUCUAUGGACCGAGACCUUUAGAAGACUGUUAGCUGUCAUAAAUGCGCUCAUGAAUACUUGGGACAUUCGAGAGCAGAUGUAAACUCCGAUGUACCAGAAAUCACACAGCUUCUGUCUUCUACACAAUAUUGUUGAAGAGUGCUUCACAAGAGUCUUGCUGACAGUGGGCUAGCUGGAGAGGCUUAGACCUGAGCUGGCAGAGAAACCUCUCUAUUCCUGUGAAUUUCUCAUUGGAGAACUGAAGAUGACUGCUAGAAAAUGACCACAAAAAACAGUAUGAAAAAGGCAAAGUGAAUUUAUCUACAAAAGCUCACCAUGACUCGCAAUGACAGAUACCAACCCCAGCAAUCAAUAAUAUACAGUGGAAAUACCAAUGGACUCCUCAGAACAGCACUGCUAGUGGCACCACUCUUUACUGCUAUUGAAAUGAAUUCAAAGGAGCUGGGCUUUUGCUCUCAAAUCAUGCAUUAUGUUAUCACUUUUCUAUUCUCACAUCAUUUAUUUAAAAGCAAUUGUUUCCUUGAUUCACAGCUAUCCACACAUACGUGAUAUGAAACAUUACGUGCCAUAUUUUAUCUCUCCCUGGGUAUAAGUCUACAAUGUGUUGAUGUUGAUGUGAGAUGAGGAUGCUCAGCACUUCAACAAAACCAGGCCCUAAGUAAAAGGCGAAUGCAAUGUUUCAACAAGUACAAGUAACAAAUGGACAUGGUGAAGGUGGUGAUUAAAGACCAUUGUAAGUACACUUUGGGGUUCUGAUGUUGCAGUACUAGCCUGCUUCUAUUUUACUCUUGCGGCUCAUUUCUUCGCAGAAUACCUCUUGUCACUUACUGUUAAUGUUUCCUGCUGAUCUUUUACAUACUGUUUUUAUUUAGUGAUUCUUGACCAAGGGAAGAAUUCUGUGUGCAGUGGCACAGGCUAGAGCGCUGACCUCUGCAGCACUGAGUGACUUCCUUCCUCCUCCACCAAAUUUUGCAGUGGGGAGGGCACUCAGCCCUGUUUGGCAGACACUGAGAGCGGCACUCACCUCACCUAACGUGGAGGUAGAGAGCUACUCAUCAGCUGUUCGCUCUCAUCCACCUUGUAGCUGAUGGGAAGAAAGAGGCACCUCUAGGCUGUGGUUCAUCUUACCUAUCUUACAUAUCAAGGAUAAUGUGAAUUGAGGCCUGAUAGUGCCUUAUGCUAUGGUGACUCAUUCAGUUAUAACUGCGUACACUGUACAUAUCUACAUUUGCUCAGCUGCAUCCCAUGUCUCGAUACUUCUCUCAGUAUGACCUUAAGUCCAGGGUAAUUCCAGCUCAAGCCAUUUUCAGGAUUUAUACAAAUUGCCUCAAGCCUUUUUUCCACUUAUCUUGAAGGCACUUUGAUAAAUGUCCACAUUCAAGGAUUUUAAAAAAAUAACUGAAAUCACCUCUUUACAAUGCUAUAUUCACCACACACUACAGCAGUUCAUAUGGAUUUCACUUACAUUAAUAUUUGGGUAUCAGCAGGAAGCGGUGUUUCGCAAAUAUGAUUUGGCAAUGUGUUCAUGAUCUUCUGCAUGGAUUCAUUCACUACAAAAAAAGAGAAAAGAUUGUUUUACAGAUAAAAAGUUGUCAUGUCACAAACCAAAAUGAAGGAAGUUCUCUUGUUACAAACUGAGAUGUUAAGUGAUUUGUUUGGUGUUCCUGCCUUAAAUAGUAUGAGCUUCCCUUAAAAAAUAAAAUGUGAAAUUCACUGUUAGUUUCUUUAAUACUGUCUGACUAAGAAGUCACAGAGCCUCUUACAUUGAAUCCUGUCCUUUGAAUCGCUUUUUUUUUUUUUUUACUUUUGUAUAUUUUGCAAAUUCAGACCUUUAUCACCAACCAAAUAAAUCUCUCAUUUUGACAAUAGAAAAUCUAGCUCCAAAUCUGAAUUUUGUAGUUUGGGUUUCCUUCUACUUCCUGUCUGAGAGCAUAGUUACGGCAACUAUUUGCACAAGUUCGUAUCUAAUUGAAACGCUGUUGACAUGUGUAUGUGCUAAACAAAGGAAUGUAAUAAAAAUUUAUGAGUUAGUUACACUUUGAAUCAAUAAAGUGUUAAAGAGUUAAAAAGAGCUCAUUUUUUUCUCAGGUCUUUCAGGCCAGGAACUGUUUGUAAUGCACAGAGCACGUCUGGGACAUUAUUCCCUUUCGCAGUGUCCUAUAUACAUAUCUUUUUUGAUUACCAUGAAUAUGACAGAGAUCUACACAGUGAAGCAUGAUGCAGUGAUAUGAAACUCUCUCAGUGAUUUUCAGAAUAUGCAACUCAUAAAUCAUCCAUUUUAGCCUGGGCCCAAAUUUGCAUGAAAACGUGGUCUCAAAAGGUAAUUUACCCAAAGCCCAACCAAUCCCAGCUGUGUGAAGCACAUAACAAAGUUAAGAAGGUAGGUUUCACAUGGCUUCAGGGUUUGUAAUGGAUGCUUUGCACAGCUGUAACGAUGAGUGGGUGAGGAGAGUUAAGAAUGAAUGAAGUGUGGGUGGUGGAAAUAUUCACUGGGCAUGUCACGGCCAAGGGAGGAAGCACAGGGGCCUCCCGGUCUCCACGAUGGGAAGGACAUCAAGGCUCCCUGGACAGGGAUCCUACUUAUUUAUUUAUUUCAGCUCUGACACAUUCUCAUUAGGAAGGCAAAAAAUGUGAAAUUGAUACAGUUUCUUUUGAACACAGAGAGAUGACUGUGGCUGCGCAGCAGAGCUGUCUUAUAAUCUGCUUCCAAACGUGUGGGUGCCUCUUGGGUUUCCUCAGAUAUUUUAUGGACUGUUUUCAAAGAUUUUUAUAAAAUCAGGCCAACAAUGUCUGCAUCCCCUACCACAUCAGUGAAAAAUUGGACAGUGUUUCAGAGUCAUGUAAAUUCCUUCUAUAAGAAACAUUUACAUUUUACUAAGUGAAAAUUUAGUAGACCACUUCAUGGGUGAAUUCAUCCCUGGUUUGUCUCCCUCGUUACAGUACAGUUACCACAGGGAUGGGUUGACUAAUAGGUUACCACUAAUGAACAGAAAAAUGAGUAGCACGUAUAACUGAACAUUACAAAGGUUUCUUCCAGGAUUGCCACGGCACGUUCAGAUAGCUGAUAAGAUACUUCAUUCUUACCGUUCCUGUAUUUUCAUGAGAACUUAUCUGUAACUUAUCAAAACCUGAAGACCGGUUUAUGUUUCUUUAUUGUAUUAUUAUAUGGCACAGUAAGUGUAAUAAAGUAAUCUGCUAACUGUU